AACGGAGCGAAAGCGACGUUCAACCGCAAAACAAGCAGAGGGGGCUUAGUGGUGGGGUGACUGCGUACCUUUUGUAUAAUGGGUCAGCGACUUAUAUUCUGUAGCAAGGUUAACCGAAUAGGGGAGCCGGAGGGAAACCGAGUCUUAAUUGGGCGUUAAGUUGCAGGGUAUAGACCCGAAACCCGGUGAUCUAGCCAUGGGCAGGUUGAAGGUUGGGUAACACUAACUGGAGGACCGAACCGACUAAUGUUGAAAAAUUAGCGGAUGACCUGUGGCUGGGGGUGAAAGGCCAAUCAAACCGGGAGAUAGCUGGUUCUCCCCGAAAGCUAUUUAGGUAGCGCCUCGUGAAUUCAUCUCCGGGGGUAGAGCACUGUUUCGGCUAGGGGGCCAUCCCGGCUUACCAACCCGAUGCAAACUGCGAAUACCGGAGAAUGUUAUCACGGGAGACACACGGCGGGUGCUAACGUCCGUCGUGAAGAGGGAAACAACCCAGACCGCCAGCUAAGGUCCCAAAGUCAUGGUUAAGUGGGAAACGAUGUGGGAAGGCCCAGACAGCCAGGAUGUUGGCUUAGAAGCAGCCAUCAUUUAAAGAAAGCGUAAUAGCUCACUGGUCGAGUCGGCCUGCGCGGAAGAUGUAACGGGGCUAAACCAUGCACCGAAGCUGCGGCAGCGAACGUAUCACCCAAGACAACUUUACGGAGUUGACGAUUGACGGAGCGAAGCGACGUCAAAGCGUUCAUUAAAGUCGAGUUGGCUUAGGGAUACGUUCGUUGGGUAGGGGAGCGUUCUGUAAGCCUGUGAAGGUGUGUCGUGAGGCAUGCUGGAGGUAUCAGAAGUGCGAAUGCUGACAUAAGUAACGAUAAAGCGGGUGAAAAGCCCGCUCGCCGGAAGACCAAGGGUUCCUGUCCAACGUUAAUCGGGGCAGGGUGAGUCGACCCCUAAGGCGAGGCCGAAAGGCGUAGUCGAUGGGAAACGGGUUAAUAUUCCCGUACUUGGUGUUACUGCGAAGGGGGGACGGAGAAGGCUAUGUUGGCCGGGCGACGGUUGUCCCGGUUUAAGCGUGUAGGUGUGUGUUCCAGGUAAAUCCGGUUCACUUUAACACUGAGGCGUGACGACGAGGCACUACGGUGCUGAAGCAACAAAUGCCCUGCUUCCAGGAAAAGCCUCUAAGCAUCAGGUAACACGAAAUCGUACCCCAAACCGACACAGGUGGUCAGGUAGAGAAUACCAAGGCGCUUGAGAGAACUCGGGUGAAGGAACUAGGCAAAAUGGUGCCGUAACUUCGGGAGAAGGCACGCUGACACGUAGGUGAAGUGAUUUACUCAUGGAGCUGAAGUCAGUCGAAGAUACCAGCUGGCUGCAACUGUUUAUUAAAAACACAGCACUGUGCAAACACGAAAGUGGACGUAUACGGUGUGACGCCUGCCCGGUGCCGGAAGGUUAAUUGAUGGGGUCAGCGUAAGCGAAGCUCCUGAUCGAAGCCCCGGUAAACGGCGGCCGUAACUAUAACGGUCCUAAGGUAGCGAAAUUCCUUGUCGGGUAAGUUCCGACCUGCACGAAUGGCGUAAUGAUGGCCAGGCUGUCUCCACCCGAGACUCAGUGAAAUUGAACUCGCUGUGAAGAUGCAGUGUACCCGCGGCAAGACGGAAAGACCCCGUGAACCUUUACUAUAGCUUGACACUGAACAUUGAGCCUUGAUGUGUAGGAUAGGUGGGAGGCUUUGAAGUGUGGACGCCAGUCUGCAUGGAGCCGACCUUGAAAUACCACCCUUUAAUGUUUGAUGUUCUAACGUGGACCCGUAAUCCGGGUUGCGGACAGUGUCUGGUGGGUAGUUUGACUGGGGCGGUCUCCUCCUAAAGAGUAACGGAGGAGCACGAAGGUUGGCUAAUCCUGGUCGGACAUCAGGAGGUUAGUGCAAUGGCAUAAGCCAGCUUGACUGCGAGCGUGACGGCGCGAGCAGGUGCGAAAGCAGGUCAUAGUGAUCCGGUGGUUCUGAAUGGAAGGGCCAUCGCUCAACGGAUAAAAGGUACUCCGGGGAUAACAGGCUGAUACCGCCCAAGAGUUCAUAUCGACGGCGGUGUUUGGCACCUCGAUGUCGGCUCAUCACAUCCUGGGGCUGAAGUAGGUCCCAAGGGUAUGGCUGUUCGCCAUUUAAAGUGGUACGCGAGCUGGGUUUAGAACGUCGUGAGACAGUUCGGUCCCUAUCUGCCGUGGGCGCUGGAGAACUGAGGGGGGCUGCUCCUAGUACGAGAGGACCGGAGUGGACGCAUCACUGGUGUUCGGGUUGUCAUGCCAAUGGCACUGCCCGGUAGCUAAAUGCGGAAGAGAUAAGUGCUGAAAGCAUCUAAGCACGAAACUUGCCCCGA
rnacentral:rRNA from 1 species